GACGAACGCUGGCGGCGUGCCUAAUACAUGCAAGUCGAACGCAGUGGGGACGGGUGAGUAACAAGUGGGUAACCUCCCAUCAGAGGGGAUAACACUUGGAAACAGGUGCUAAACCGAUACUGAUGGAUGGACCUGCGGUGAAUUAGCUAGUUGGGGAGGUAACGGCUAACCAAGGCCACGAUGCAUACCGGAGAUGAGAGGAUGAGCGGCCACACUGGGACUGAGACACGGCCCAGAGUCCUACGGGAGGCAGAAGUAGGGAAUCUUGGUCAAUGGACGAAAGACUGACCGAGCAACGCCGCGUGAGUGAAGAAGGCUUUCGGAUCGUAAAACACUGUUGGUAGAGAAGCGGUAUCUAACCAGAAAGCCACGGCUAACGCCGUGCGAGCCGCCGCGGUAAUAC
rnacentral:rRNA from 1 species